GGGGAUGUGGCUCAGUUGUAGAGCACUUGCCUCCCGUGCGUGAAGCCCUGGGUUCAGUCCCCAGCACUCGUA
rnacentral:tRNA from 1 species